rnacentral:rRNA from 1 species
UACGUAGGGUGCAAGCGUUAAUCGGAAUUACUGGGCGUAAAGCGUGCGCAGGCGGUUCUAUAAGACCGAUUUGAAAUCCCCGGGCUCAACCUGGGAACUGCAUUUGUGACUGUAGAGCUGGAGUACGGUAGAGGGGGAUGGAAUUCCGCGUGUAGCAGUGAAAUGCGUAGAUAUGCGGAGGAACACCGAUGGCGAAGGCAAUCCCCUGGACCUGUACUGACGCUCAUGCACGAAAGCGUGGGGAGCAAACAGG